rnacentral:rRNA from 1 species
GACGAACGCUGGCGGCGUGCUUAACACAUGCAAGUCGAACGGAAAGGCCCUGCUUUUGUGGGGUGCUCGAGUGGCGAACGGGUGAGUAACACGUGAGUAACCUGCCCUUGACUUUGGGAUAACUUAAGGAAACUGGGUCUAAUACCGGAUAGGAGCUACUGCUGCAUGGUGGGGGUUGGAAAGUUUCGGCGGUUGGGGGUGGACUCGCGGCUUAUCAGCUUGUUGGUGUGGUAGUGGAUUACCAAGGCUUGGAGGGGUGGCAGGGCUGCUCGGGUGACCGGCCCCGUCGGACUGGGGAUAAGGCCCAGACUACUAUGGGAGGCAGCGGUGGGGAAUAGUGCAUAAGAGGCGGAGGCAUGAUGCAGCAACGCCGCGUGCGGGAUGACGGCCUUCGGGUUGUAAUGCGCUGUCGCCUGUGACGAAGUGUGAGUGACGGUAAUGGGUAAAGAAGCACCGGCUAACUACGUG